GCACAAGCAGCGGAGCGUGUGGUUUAAUUCGAUGCUACACGAAGAACCUUACCAGGGUUUGACAUGCUAGUGGUAGGAAACCGAAAGGUGACCGACCCUUCGGGGAGCUAGCACAGGUGCUGCAUGGCUGUCGUCAGCUCGUGUCGUGAGAUGUUCGGUUAAGUCCGCUAACGAGCGCAACCCUCGCUGUGUGUUAUAUGUGUCACAUGGGACUGCCGGCCUUAAGCCGGAGGAAGGUGGGGAUGAUGCCAAGUCAGCAUGGCCUUUAUGUCCUGGGCUACACACACGCUACAAUGGUCAGCACAAUGGGUCGCUAAGCCGCAAGGUGGAGCCAAUCCUAAAAGCAGGCCUCAGUUCAGAUUGUAGGCUGCGACCCGCCUGCAUGAAGAUGGAGUUGCUAGUAACCGCAGGUCAGCUAUACUGCGGUGAAUACGUUCCCGGGUCUU
rnacentral:rRNA from 1 species